GUGGGUACAAAGCAAAGUAAGCAAAUUCACCUAACAAAAUUAAUGUUUUGUUUUCCAAUUUCCAAUUAGAUCGGAAAGAAGUGAAUAAUCCAUGAAGUGUUAAGAAAUAAUAUAUCUAAUAAUUGAUGAGCUAUCGCUGGAAUGGAAUAUAAAAUACGAAAGUAAAACAUAAAAAACCAACAGCAUUUAUAAAAAAAACAUCCAACGAACCAAUAAAGAAUUUAGUGUAUACAAAAAUAGGUGAAAAAUCUCGGAGAAAUCACACUAAUCACUACUACUUUGUUGUCUAUUGUUGCGAAAAAAAGAUGAAAUAAUAAAUUCAUGAAAUAGAAGUGUUAUACAUGUGCAUAUGAAAGUGUUUAAAAGUGUAAAAUAUUACAAGUAUUUUAUAUCAAAUAAAGUAUUUAAAACAAUUCUGGCCCCCUUUAAACAUAGCUUACAAAAUAUUUUUUUGGGGCUUUUGACAGCAGCCAGUCAGGAAUAACAACAACAAAUACAAUAAGAGCAUACAAACAAAAAAUUUUCACUCUGUAGCAGAGAGACCAAAGAAACUGUGCUGCGACAGAGGGGCAACAAAACGCAAACGAUAAUUUAUGGAUAUUAACAGAACUCUCGCAGAUAAUAAAACUUUAAGUUUACAACAAUACUCCCUACAACAACUUCAUCUUACUCAUCAAGGGAUCAUGUUUAAGUCACAUUAAGUUUCCA
rnacentral:sRNA from 1 species